rnacentral:rRNA from 1 species
GUGAACGCUGGCGGCGUGCCUAAUACAUGCAAGUCGAGCGAACAGAUAAGGAGCUUGCUCCUUUGACGUUAGCGGCGGACGGGUGAGUAACACGUGGGUAACCUACCUAUAAGACUGGGAUAACUUCGGGAAACCGGAGCUAAUACCGGAUAAUAUUUCGAACCGCAUGGUUCGAUAGUGAAAGAUGGUUUUGCUAUCACUUAUAGAUGGACCCGCGCCGUAUUAGCUAGUUGGUAAGGUAACGGCUUACCAAGGCGACGAUACGUAGCCGACCUGAGAGGGUGAUCGGCCACACUGGAACUGAGACACGGUCCAGACUCCUACGGGAGGCAGCAGUAGGGAAUCUUCCGCAAUGGGCGAAAGCCUGACGGAGCAACGCCGCGUGAGUGAUGAAGGUCUUCGGAUCGUAAAACUCUGUUAUUAGGGAAGAACAUACGUGUAAGUAACUGUGCACGUCUUGACGGUACCUAAUCAGAAAGCCACGGCUAACUACGUG